rnacentral:rRNA from 1 species
AGAUUGAACGCUAGCGGGAUGCUUUACGACAUGCAAGUCGAACGGCAGCGCGGACUUCGGUCUGGCGGCGAGUGGCGAACGGGUGAGUAAUAUAUCGGAACGUGCCCAGUAGCGGGGGAUAACUACGCGAAAGCGUGGCUAAUACCGCAUACGCCCUACGGGGGAAAGGGGGGGAUCGCAAGACCUCUCACUAUUGGAGCGGCCGAUAUCAGAUUAGCUAGUUGGUGAGGUAAAGGCUCACCAAGGCGACGAUCUGUAGCUGGUUUGAGAGGACGACCAGCCACACUGGGACUGAGACACGGCCCAGACUCCUACGGGAGCAGCAGGUGGGAAUUU